GAAAAUCUUGUCGUUUCCCAUUUUGCCCCUCCCUCGCCUCACUCACUCGCGAUUCCCCUCCUCUCCUCACUCACUCUGAAAUCCCUAGCUCGCCCGCGCCGCUCUUCCUCUGGCCCGCGCCGCUCUCCCUCUCGCCCACGCCGCUCUCCCUCUGGCCCGUGCCGUUCUCCCUCUCACCCACGCGGCUUGCCUGCGUCUACGUCGCCGCUUCUCCCUUUCGCCCGCGCCGCCUCUCCCUCUCGCCGGCUUCGCAUGCGCCACCUUCUCCUGCUCAAGCCAAAGCUGGCUUUUUUACUGAAGUCCAGGAAGAGCAGCAGUAGUGCGGGGCAGACAGCCUUGUCCUGCUCGACGACGGUGGCAGCGUUCUCCGGCUCGACGACGGCGGCGACAAACGCUAGCGCUCCUCGUCUUCCUCGACCUGCAAGGAGGAGCACCGGUACUGGAGAUGCGGCUGCUGCUGCCAGGUCUGCACGACGUGGAGGUCCUGCAGAUGCGGUUGCUGCUCUGGCGGGCGAGGGGGAGUUCAAGCUGCCGGGCGACUUCAACUUCAUCUUCAUCUGCAGAUCAGGUCAGACUUCAUCUUCGUCCCCUUGUGUGCUCUGAUUGUGUGCUUUGCUUCAGAGAUGCUAAGAAAAACUUGUUCAUGCUCUGCUUGUGUUCUCUGCUUCAGAUUGUGUGCUCUGAUGAUUAUUUCAAUUCUGCACUUUUUUGUUAAGACAGACUUGGGAUAGGAUCUUCAUGCACUGUAGAGUGAUGAUUAUUUACAGAAAUUAAAUGAUGUUCUGAACAAAAAUUAGGAACAUGGAGGGAGUAGUAGAUGUAUACAGAGCAACCAGAGCACUACUGAUGAUGUCACUUCAUAUUUUGUGUUUAGUCUUUGCUCCUGAGUCAAUUUUUGCAAGAGUAUUCACCAGAGAUUCAAAAUACUCCGGCAAGCUUCACUAGUUACUCCUACUGGUGGUUCACUAUUUACUGUUAAUUCACCAGCAAGCUUUCCAACAAGGAGUACUCAUGAAAGUUUCGGAAUGAAUCUGUUGAUGGUUCACUGUUUAUUUGCUUGAUUACUGUUAAUUGAAAAUAGAGUAUGCAAAACUAGAAUAUUGCUUGCUAGAGAAGAAUAUUUAGUGAGCAUGAUUGUGUAGAAAUUUUUCAUUUGGUACUUGGAGUAGAAUAUUGCUUGCUGGAGUUGCUUGCUUAUUGUUAAUUGAAAAUAGACUAAGCAGCUAAUCUAGUGUUGCUCAUGGAGUAGUUGUAGAGCAUGCUCCUGUCCUCUCCUUUCCUCUCCACUCUCCUCUCCACUCUUGUCCUCUCCUCUCCACUCUUCUCCAUUCAGAAAACUUCAAUAAAUUCAGAAACUUCCAUAUAAUUCGGAAAACUUAAAAAAAAACAGAAACUUCCACAUAAAAUUUGGAAAUUUCCAUAAAGUUAAGAAACUUGCAUAUAAUUUCAGAAGCUUGCACACUCCAUUUCAAACAACACAUAUGGAGUACUCCAUUUCAAACAACACAAUAUAAUCCAUUUCAUACCUACAAAUAAUCCAUAUCCACAAACAAUACAAGUCUCAUGAAUGCACUUCCACAAACAAGUUUCAUCAUAGCACUACAAGUCUCAACAUACUCCACAACAAGUUGCAAGCAUUGCAAGUCUUGACAUACUCCACUACUCCAUGAUAUCUUGUUCUAGAAUCUCCAUGGCAUUUUCAUAAACCUCAUGGGGAAAGUGAAUCCUAGGCGGUAGGAUUCCUUGCCUUUCCAAUCUCUCCUUGCGCAAAUGUGGAAUUUUGUAUGAAUUUUCUCCUCCAUGGUUCAUCACCUCUACCAUGAUGGUCUGAAGUGUUAGAAAUAUUCUGUUGAGUUUCCCGGCAUCAUACUCAUCAAAUUCUUCCUGUACACCUUGAAUCAGUUCUUUGAUAGUCGUGGGUGCUCUGCAAUCGGUCAAAGACUCAAGGGAUCUGAAAUAUCCAAGAUCAAGUGCGUUUAGAUCAGGAGAAUUUGGAGGCUGGUUUAUUAUUUUAAUGUCCAGACCAGUUGUAGCCACAGCUUCUGCAAACUCUGCAUCACCGGGAAGAAUGUGCGUUCUCACGUUAUCUUGUUGGAUCAAUAUUGGAUUAGUAUCAUCUGCGGGCCAAACUUCCUUUAUUCCUGGAACCACUUUUUCUAUCAUAUACCUCCUCAUUACCCGUCGGUUCACGUUGACGGACUUCAUUUCAAUGGUCCCUCUUGCUCUAUAUUCGCUUCUUCUAGCAGCGGGAAUCUCUUGCACAAAGGGCCAUACACCAAUUUUACCGGAGAAUGUCAUAUUGCCUUCAGCGUCAUAUCUGGGUCGAGCAACAGCGGUCAGAAACAUCACUUUCCCAAUACAGUUCUGACCGGAUCAUCUUCCUCCGGGAGGAGGUAGUAGUUUCUGUUCAUUUUCGUCAUAUAGAACCACUUUUCGUCAAUAUGCACAAUGUUGUGCAUACCAAUGAACUUAGGUCUUGGAGCUGCUAAGGUGGUCUCGUCAAUUAUUGACAAACAAAACUUGAUCCUCUCUCUUCUAUUCUUUUCUUUCAAGGAUGGCUUCAGACGAUUGGAGUGCCACCUAAUCUUGCGAAGCUUGAGUUUCUUGUAGAGUGUAGUAUGACUGACACCCAAUUGGCGAGCAAGUGACCUGAGAGUCGACCUUCUGUUCAAUGGAACUGUGGGGAUUUGGGAUAGAGUAUCAUCCUUUCCUUUUCUUCCUUUCCUUUUGCUGGAUACAUCCACCUCCCGACCAAGCGCUAUUUGUUCCUUUGCUGUCGUCCAAAUUUUCCGAAUAUGUUGAACACCAACUUGAAAAAUUUGAGCAACAUCCUUCUUGUCAUUUCUUUUGAACUUGCCACCCCUGGCCAGAUUCAGGGUAUGCAGUGCCAUGUAGGCAGCAUAUCUCUGCUCAGCUAUCAUUGACAUUCUUUGCCUACGUAUGUGCUGACUACCUACAGUAGCAAAAGAAAAAGGAAAUUAGGGAAGUGAUGGAGGCCUUAAUGAUCACAAGAUAGACCACAUGUUGUGGUAGCUAGCUAGAGUGGCUAGCAGGAGUACCUGCUGCUUGACCAUGCACUGCUUCUUCUACUUGGAGUUCCAUACCAACUUCUUCUUGGAGUUCCAUGUCAACUUCUUCUUGGAGCUCCAUAUCAACUUAUUCUCCUGCAGGUGGAGUAUUUGCUUGAGGUCCAGGUUCAUCCUCUUCUGGUGGAGAACAAUUCAGGUCAAAGUUCAUCAUCUUCGCGAUGUUGCUGAUGCUGCUGCUAAUUUACUGCUGCUGUUGUUGCUUGAGCUACUGCUGCUGCUACUGUGUUUGUUGCUGGAGUACUUGCUUGAGCUACUGCUGCUAAUUUGUUGAUGGAGUACUUGAUUGAGUGACUGCUGCUGCCAUUGUGUUGCUGCUGUUGUUGUGUCGAUGCUGCUCUUGCUUAUAUCUGCAGGAACAAAUCUAUGAAAUGACACAAUCUUCAAUUUAUAUGGUUCAGAAUUGGUUAGGUUUAUAAGCUAAAACAUCAGAUAUGCAUUUAAAAUGGACAGCAUUUGUACAGUUCAUUUCCUGCAGGAUAAUGUGAAUAUGGUUCCUGUUUGAAGAAUUACCAGCUGAAUUUAUAUGGAGUAGUUUCUGAAUAAGAGUAGUAAUGCAGAAUAGUGUGAAUUUAUAUGCAUUAGCUUAUUCAGCUGUAGAGAUUCAUAUACAUUUGCCCAGAUUGACCAAAUAAAUUUGAACUCUUUGUAAUACUCCGUUAGAGAAAAAAAUUAUAUGGAGUAUCAUUAGAUGCUGUUGUACGGAUUCAUAGUAAUGCUGCUGUAGAGACAAAAUGCUCCUUCAUGGUACUCCUCCUUUUAUUUAUAUAGAAAUGCAGGAGUACUCUAGGAUCAUUCAACUGAUCCAUUUGUAAAUUUUGUGUCAAUCUGCUGAAUCUAGUAAUCCUUGGCAUUUUGCAGGCGCGUACGAUUCGCUUGAUUCGGGUGGGAACAUUACAAUCAAGUGGGCACUGGAAUGAUCAUGUGAUGCACUGUUUGAAGUUAAGACUAAUUCAGUUCAGUCUGUUUGAAGCUAAGACAAAUUUCCUUGGCAUUUCACUAGAUGUGGUGUUAAUGGCCUGAAGAUUUUAUCAGAUUAUCCACCAUUCAUCCUGCAACCGGACUGGCAAAUACUGCUGAAUAUGUUCAGAUGCAGAAAUUGGAACAAAGGAAAACAUCACAUGCUCCGACCAGAUUAAUUUCCAACUUAGCUGGAUGCCUAGUUAUGGGAAUCGACCAGAUUAAUUUCCAACUCAGCUAGAUCCUUGCUAUGGAGACAGAGGAGUCGUAGGUUGGGCAUCGCCCCCUCCUCAAAUCCCAGGUACGCCAUAACAUCUCCUUGUCUCCCCUAUCAGUUCAGUUCAGUCUGUUUGAAGCUAAGAUCAAUUCAGUGCAUGCCCCUAUCGCUACAGAAGUGCACAUCAGCUUUCUCAUUCUUACAUGAGCAAAUUUCAUGAAAAGAAUCUUCUAUGGGAACACAUCGAUUUGGUUUUUUUUUCAAAUGCAGGAGUACUAUGGAUUACAGAAGAAUUGAUUUGUAAGAUUGCCCACAAGUGAUAUUGUGCAGAAAAUUGUGAAAUUAGUCUGACUUCUACUGUACAGAAGAAUUGAUUUGUAAGAUUGCACACAAGAAUUGAUCUGAGUUCUGCUGUUGUGCAAGGGGAGAGGCGAGGAGAACCUGCUUGGAAGCAACGUGUUGCGGCGGCGGGGACGAGCUAGGUGGGAUGGGCGCGGCGAGGACCAAUCUGGGGCGGCGACGACCAAGCUGGGCGGGGGCGGCUACCAAGCAGGCACAGCGGCGGCCAAGCUGGGCGGGCGCGGCAGCAACCAAGCGGGCGCAGAGGAGGCCGAACUGGGCACCUGGGAUCGGGACCGAGUGCCUGCAGGCGGGGCCCGCGCGCUUGGACGAAGGGGAUGACGCGAGCUCCUGCAGGAGGAAGACGGGACGCUGGAGAAGGAAGACGGGCGAGCUCCUGUAGGAAGAAGACGACGCGAGCUCUGGAGGAGGAAGACGACUCAAAUUUCAAAUCGAGGGUAAAACUGUCCAUUUCCCCAUUUGUCGGCUAUGUCUGAAAAUUGUAAACGCUCUUAUAAAAGUUUACAGAGGGAGUAUUUCGCAUUCCUUUUGAAAGCAUUACUAAUAAUGUUUUAUUUCGUUCCUCACAAAAUAUAUUUUAUUUUGAGAUUGUCAAGAAAAAAAGUGUAAUUUUGAAAACUUCCAACGAUUAAUAAAAGUUAAAGAUGAAAAGUAAAAUAAAACCAGAUACAUGGACAAUGGACCACCUAGCAACAAUUAUAGGCUUGCAAUGGACGAAAGGCGCGUCACAGUCAUCGUCUCGCUAAGCGGGGCUUACCGCAUAACUAUUCUUGUUAUUUCUGCAAUUCUGCAAGCAAGUAUAAUAGAGCUGAGUCAGCGGGCUAUAAGGAAUAAACUAGUAUAUUUCUGCUUAGUUGGAGGAAAGAGAAGAGGAGAGAUAAGGUAAGCGGGCUCUUCGUGAAGAGCCGGCUCUAGCACAUGUUUUUAGGCACUUUGUGAGAAUGAAAGAUGGGCCACAUAAAAAAAA
rnacentral:lncRNA from 1 species